UACAGAGGGUGCGAGCGUUAAUCGGAAUUACUGGGCGUAAAGCGCACGUAGUCGGCUUUGCAAGUCGGGUGUGAAAUCCCCGGGCUCAACCUGGGAACUGCAUCCGAGACUGCAUGGCUAGAGUAUGGAAGAGGGAAGUGGAAUUUCCGGUGUAGCGGUGAAAUGCGCAGAUAUCAGGAGGAACACCGAUGGCGAAGGCAGGUCUCUGGGCCACUACUGACGCUGAGAAGCGAAAGCAUGGGGAGCGUACAGG
rnacentral:rRNA from 1 species